rnacentral:rRNA from 1 species
AACAAUCCUUUUACAAAUCUUGUAGCUCAUCUAUUUCAAUAAUACCGGGCUCUUUGAGUCUGGUAAUUGGAAUGAGUACAAUUUAAAUCCCUUAAUGAGGAUCUAUUAGAGGGAAAAUCUGGUGCUAGCAACCGCGGUAAUUCUAGCUUUAAUAGCAUAUAUUUAAGUUGUUGUAGUUAAAGAUCUUGUAGUUGGACCUUAGGUUCGGUCGACUAGUCCACCUAGCAAUGUGCACUUGUCGUCUCGUCCCUUUUGCCAGCGAUGUGCUGUUGGCCUAGUCGUGCUUUCGAUGCUAUUACUUUGAAGAAAUUAGAGUGCUUAAAGCAAGCCUAUGCUCUGUAUACAUUACAUGGGAUAACAUCAUAGGAUUUUGGUCCUAUUUUAUUGGCUUUCGGGACCAGAGUAAUGAUUAACAGGGACAAUCAGGAGCAUCCAUAUUUCAUAGUCAGAGGUAAAAUUCUUGGAUUUAUGAAAGACGGAUAACUGCAAAAGUAUUUGCCAAUGAUGUUUUCAUUAAUCAAGAAUGAAAGUUAGGGGCUCAAAGACGAUUAGAUACCAUCUUAGUCUUUUAGGACCAACCAGAGAUCGGCGAAUGUUGCUUUUAGGACUCCAUCGGCAUCUUAUGAGAAAUCAAAGUCUUCGGGUUCCGAGGGAAGUAUAGUCGCAAGGCUGAAACUUAAAGGAAUUGAUGGAAGGGCACCACUAGGAGUGGAGCAUAUGGCUUAAACUUACCAGAUCCAGACAUAGUAAGGAUUGAUAGACUGAAUAGACUGAAAACUCUUUCUUGAUUCUAUGGGUGUGGCUGUUCUUAGUUGAUGGAACAAUUUGUAUGGUUAAUUCCGUUAACGAAUGAGACCUCAGCUUGCUAAUUAGCUAUGCGGAGGUAUCCCUCCACAACCCAGCAUCUUAGAAGGACUAUAGCUUUCUAAGCCAAGGAAGUUUGAGGCAAUAACAAGUUUGUGAUUGUCUUAGAUGUUCUAGGCUGCAUGCGUGCUACAUUGAUGUAUUCAAUGAGUCUAUAGCCUUAGACGACAUGCCCAAGCAAUCUUUAAAAUUUCA